rnacentral:rRNA from 1 species
CCUACGGGUGGCAGCAGUGGGGAAUUUUGCGCAAUGGGCGAAAGCCUGACGCAGCAACGCCGCGUGGGUGAUGAAGGUCUUCGGAUCGUAAAACCCUGUCGUCAGGGACGCAGGUUGCAUGUCGAAUAGAUGUGCAGCUUGACGGUACCUGGAGAGGAAGCCCCGGCUAACUCUGUGCCAGCAGCCGCGGUAAUACAGAGGGGGCAAGCGUUGUUCGGAGGUAUUGGGGGUAAAGGUGUCAUUGAGGUGUGGAAUCCCCGAGCUUAACUUGGGAACUGCAUCUCAGACUGUGUCGCUAGAGUACUGGAUAGGGUGGUAGAAUUCCACGUGUAGCGGUGAAAUGCGUAGAGAUGUGGAGGAAUACCAGUGGCGAAGGCGGCCACCUGGACAGUAACUGACGCUGAGGCGCGAAAGUGUGGGGAGCAAACAGGAUUAGAUACCCGAGUAGUC